rnacentral:rRNA from 1 species
UACGAAGGGGGCUAGCGUUGUUCGGAAUUACUGGGCGUAAAGCGCACGUAGGCGGAAUGUUAAGUCAGGGGUGAAAUCCCGGGGCUCAACCCCGGAACUGCCUUUGAUACUGGCAUUCUCGAGUCCGGAAGAGGUGAGUGGGAUUCCGAGUGUAGAGGUGAAAUUCGUAGAUAUUCGGAGGAACACCAGUGGCGAAGGCGGCUCACUGGUCCGGUACUGACGCUGAGGUGCGAAAGCGUGGGGAGCAAACAGG